AUUUCUGCUUGUAAUAACAGUUAAUAAGCUUACAGUCUCCAACUUCAAAUCAGCUCUUCUAUUCUUAAUUCAUUUGUGCUCAUGUCCUAAUCAAUAGAGGCAGUUCUGCAGUGAACUUCAGCAGCUGUUUGAAAGCAGACAUUGCUACAGUAAGGUCUUUAGGACAAAAGUGGAAAUGCAAGAUGAGGUCUUUCUGGAUAGACAUAUGGUAAUGCCUGGCUGAAAUUGAAUUCGGAUUGGUGAAUCGUAAUGGGACCUUUUCUUAUCAUAAGAAACAGUUUCUUGAUUUUAACAGAAGUGUCAAGAAGCGGGCUUCCUUACCUUUGUGCUCUGAACAGAUGCUGGGGAAAAGGAAUGCAACGGCUGAUUCAGAUUCACAAACAUUAGAUGAGAAGAAUGUGUAUGAUCUUCGAAUCUGAAUUCAUCUCUAUGUGGACCAUGGACAGGUAGGCAUAUAUUUUGACAUAUACUAUAUUUUAGAGCCAUUUAAGCAAGAGCGAGUUUUACACCUUCCAUGGUAGUCUGUUACAGUGUUUAAUUAUCCAGAAUAAUUUUGAACAAAAAUUGGUGUACUUGGCCUCAUUAAUGUGCGGCAAAGAAGAGCUUUUUUAAAGCAACCUCCAGACAGGAUUUGUAAACAUCAACUUCAUUUUUAUUUGGUACAAAGCACAUUAACGGCAGCAGCAGAGAGAGAGCUAAAAUUUUACAAGUAGAGAAUUAAUCACAGCGGGUGAUGACAGGCUGGUAAAGUGUCUCAUUAGUAAAAGAAUAACAAGGAGUUUAAUGGAGAGUCAGUGUUUUGUAAGUAUAAUAGCCUGGGUUUUCAAAAGGGAUUGGUGAUUUGGGAAUGCCUCUAGUUUUGAUACUAGAUUCGAACCAGUCAGAUUUUUGAAGGCAUUAAGAGCAUCUUUCUGUAGCUGCUUUAAAGAUUUUGGAGGGUAAGCGUGCCAAAGACAGACUGUCAUUUCCAUCUCAGACACGGUCCUUGACUAAAGCGUUCCUAGUUUCAUAGCGUUUCAGGAUGGACCAGCAUGCUUUUAAGAGGCAGAUUUGCAGCUGAUAUAAAAUAUCUUGGACACAGACAACAUGGAACAGUGGCAGAUUACAGUGACUGACAUACUGUCCCUAUUGUGAACUUUUUUUGCAGCAGAAAAACACUGUAUCAUCCUAAGUGAGAGCUUCUCUUAUGUGGAAACUUAAACCUCCUCCCCAUUCUGCAACAAUAGCACUUACACAGGGCAGCGUUGUGGAAAGGCUUUGUUCUAAACAUGCAGUCUGCUUGCAACAAACAUCACCAGUGCAAGUUCAGCUCUAGAAAAUGGAUUAAAAAAUACAGCUGGCAGAAGGAGACAUAACCAUAAAAGACAAGAACAAGUUGUAACUUACAGAGACAACUUGGAAACUGGGAGACACAAGGAAGAAAUUCUUUUAGCUGUUUUGAGGAUAAGCCAGGCUCAUGCGUGCUGGGUGGUUUACUCUUGUUAAGUAUAGCUAAUCUUUUCAAACAGAUUAUCUGUUUAUAUAUAUAUAUAUAUAUAUAUAGCUUUUAUUGGGUUUUAGUCCCAUGAGUACUUUUUCUUCAACUACGAAGCGUAUCAUUUAUAUAGGUACGUAACACAGUGUACUGCAGGGUAGGUAUUGUAUGACAUUUUAUUUAUAUUUUGCUGUUGAUAUGUGACAAAAUGAUGUUUCUGCUGCUUCUGGUCUCGUUCAUUAGAGUGACCAGGACAAUGGGCAUAGCUUCCUGCAAUACCAUCAGGCUAAAGCAUAAGGGGAAUUUAAGUAAUGCCUAAUUCUUAUAGGCCCUCACCUGGUGUAAAUUGUAGCUACAAGUUAGGAGACUAAAUAGUAUAGGAAGGAGCAUGCACCAAAACCAGUUAAUGAAAUCCAAUCUGUUAGUGCAAGAAAGCUGAAUUUUUCUUGAUAUUCCCUCCCCUGCUAAGUCUAUCAAAGUCAAGUAAGAAUUUUGAUGCCACCCCCUAUCUAUUGAAGUCAUAGUGAAAAAAAAUUCAGUGUUCAUUGUAUACCCAAAUUAUUUCUAGAUCUUCAAUUCAUAAUAAAUCUACUUAGAGUGCUUUGUUCUGAUGAACU
ensembl:lncRNA